AUUGAACGCUGGCGGUAUGCUUAACACAUGCAAGUCGAACGGCAGCACGGUCUAGCUUGCUAGAUGGGUGGCGAGUGGCGAACGGGUGAGUAACGCGUAGGAAUAUACCUUAAAGAGGGGGAUAACUUGGGGAAACUCAAGCUAAUACCGCAUAAUGUCUGAGGACAAAAGCUGGGGACCUUCGGGCCUGGCGCUUUGAGAUUAGCCUGCGUACGAUUAGCUAGUUGGUGGGGUAAGGGCCUACCAAGGCGACGAUCGUUAGCUGGUCUGAGAGGAUGACCAGCCACACUGGAACUGAGACACGGUCCAGACUCCUACGGGAGGCAGCAGUGGGGAAUAUUGGACAAUGGGGGCAACCCUGAUCCAGCAAUACCGCGUGUGUGAAGAAGGCCUGAGGGUUGUAAAGCACUUUCAGUGGGGAGGAGGUUAAUUAGGUUAAGAGCUAGAUUAAUGGACGUUACCCACAGAAGAAGCACCGGCUAACUCCGUGCCAGCCGCCGCCGUAA
rnacentral:rRNA from 1 species